AUUCUGUGUCUCCCUCUCUCUCUGCCCCUCCCCCGUUCAUGCUCUGUCUCUCUCUGUCUCAAAAAUAAAUAAACGUUAAAAAAAAAUUAAAAAAUAAAAUAAACAUACAUUUAACUGGAAAAAUAUCUACCUAAAUAUUAACAGCACAUCAGCUGGUGAUAGGAUUAUAGCAAAUUUUUUUCUUCCUUUUACUAAUUUACCCGUAAUGAAAUAUUUCCAUAUUAAGAAAAAUGGCAACUGUACCUCUCCUGAAAAUGAUAACAUUUAUAAGUUUCCUGGUAAAAGUGUUGGAAUUAAAAGGGUUAGAAGCUUCUGGUUUUAUUAAUCAACCACUGCUCUAUGCAUUUCAGGAAUACUCUGCUUAAAUGGGGCAGAGGUGAGAUAACACAGCUUAGGCCCUAAGUUAAUAAAGUCCUCAGGACAAUUCUGUGCAAAAAAAAACUAUUAGUCACGCACCCAAUUCCAGCAAACUUUUUUUCCUGUUUAGUCUGUCCUCAAUCUUUACGGCAAAAUCUUUGUGACAGGGAUGUUCUGGUACAGAAGGGCUGUCUCCAAGGCCAGGAGCAGAUACAAUUAUAUUGGGCUCAAACAAUAAUCCUAUGUCACCAUGUCAAGUUAAAUCUGAGCUUUUGCAAGCUCUGAUCUUUUGCUCACCCAGGCUAUUAAACACACAAAAAAUAACAAAUGAAAAUCUGUUUGGCAUUUGAGCACAUUUACAUGCCAGCAAUAAAAAAAAAAAAAAAAAGCCUGCUUGUCCAGACUCCUAUGCGGUAUCUCAACAUGUCCUUAAAGACCCCUACCAAACCAGGGAACUCAGGUCUCAUCCCCAGGUCACUGGCGGGUCUCCUGCCUCAGGCUCUGCCCCAGAGCCUCCUUUGCCGGAGGGUCAGGGCUCUGCUGCCAAGGUCCUCCACGAGCCUCUCUUGAGCGCAAGCUGCCCACCCUGCCAACCACCUAACUUGAGUUCUUCCUAAACACCCUUCGACUGUCCCCGAGCCCCAGGAUGGCAGUCCCAGCCCGGUUUCUCGGGGCGGGCCUCUGGGAAGAGCUCCCCGCCCCUCAGGCUGGACAGUGCCCGCCAGGACAUGCAGCCAGGCCAGUGCCCGUCUGACUCACUACUGCAUCCUCCUCCUUGGGAGGCAGACACAUGCGCAGCCAACCUCCAGCCAGCAGUGGAAGCCCGGCGUACCCACUGAUGGCGGCAAAUGCUGUGCUCGGGUGCGGGAACCUUACUCGUGAGCAUGAGCCCCUGCAGUAGGAUCUUCCUCACAGCCAUUUCUCCUCUGUGAGAAAGGAGACAGCGUCAGAGCCUCAGUGCAGGCUGAGGGGCUGGAGUAGCUACGCUCACAGCUCAGCUCCAUGCACCCCUCCUCCCACCUCUCCUCCUCGUCUCCAGCAGCUCCUGGUUCUCUAGCUUCAUUCGUGCCAGAAACGAUUCUUUGGCCGCUAUCCAGAAACCAGAGCAGGAAGGAGCAUCCAAAAAAUAUGACAUGCCUCUUCUUAGAGCCAGUACUGUUGGCGAGUUGUGCCGGGAAGGCUUCACGCUUCGCCAAUUCUUUCACAAAGGCCCAAAUCAUUCUGCCCUAGUAAACCAGCCUGGCCCAUGGGCCUGUAUGUGCAUAACCCAAUUUGUAACCAGCCAGGGCACUCUGCACCAAGUGUGUCCUGAUGCCAAACCUCACCACACAGAGUAACCCAAUUAUGAUGGCACCUGGUGCCCCCGAUUGUGUUCCCUGCUCUGACAUCAAUUUGCUAUCUGCACCUCCAGGUCAGCAUGACAAAGGCCUUUCAAUUCCCCAAUCUUCAGGCAAGGUGUCCAGGCCAGCCUGCUCUCUAGGAGCUCUCUUCCUAGAUACCAGAGCAAUAGAAAUCCCAAGACUGGCCCUAAUCUGACUAUGACAACACCGACAUCAAAAUAAGUGCCGGGCCACCUACAGAACCUAGUAAGGUCUAGACUGAAUGGCUGUUUGUCCUUAUAUUCACUUACAGUAAUGAUAUCAUGUAUUUACAUAUGGAGUAGGGUAUGGAGGAAAAGGCAUUUCUAGCUAAGAGAUGUGAAUCUCAAGUCCAAUCUACCCUCAGCAGGCCCAGUAAUAGAAAGCCAAGUCUAGUUUACCUGGUUACUUACAUAAAACAAAAAUGAGCCCCCUUGCAGGUUCAAGUAAAAUUCCCUUGCUUUUAUUUAUUCAGGGCUACAACUAAGGGACUUAUACUUUACAAGCAGGGGCCUAAGGUUCUAUUUCAAGCUUGAGUGUAAAGAGGGCACUAAGGCAGACACAAAAUGGGCCCACCCCCCAAAGGACCACUCAACUCCAGGGCAGCUAAGUCCCAAGUCAGAGAAACAUCCCACGUCCUCGUUUGACCACAGAUGCUCAGAGCAGAGAACUGGUUUCAGCCUGAAGGAGGAAGUCCGGAGGAAGCUUUUGUUGUCCUGUGUUAUGAUGUCUCCUUACUAGGCUUAAAAUAAUGAGGCAGUGUUUUAGGGCAUGAUAUUCAUACUCUGGAAGCAGCAAGGGACCUGGAACCCUGUAGUUUAGGGCCCAAGUCAGGGACAACCAGGACGGGUGACGGCCUCCAGAGUGAGGCAUUAGCUCAGCAUUUAAAGGAAGAGCUGCCCUGCAUCACAGUUGGAGGGAGGAGAAGGGGGAAAAGGGGAGAUGGGAGGAGGAAUGGCAGGACCAGCUCUCUAAGAGCACUGACCUAGUUUGUAUGACUGGUCUUCCUACAGUGACCUUCACAGAUUUGCUUCUAUUUUAUUUUGAACUAAGGAAAAAAAAAUAAUUAACAGCUGUAUUUCUACCACCCAGAACUGACUACUAACAGCCAGAAUUUUAGGCUUAAAAAAAAAAUGCAUUUUGUAGAGUUCAUCUUCCCUCUAUCCCCACACCCCUCCAACCCUUCCACAGCCUGUCACGAACUCUGACACCCAACUACUGUCAGGAAUUUUCUAUCCUUCUAAUUCAUUUAAGUGUGACUAUAUCUAUACCAACCCCCAUGAUACUGUUUUCUAAAAUGUUCUAAGUAGUAUACUGUUACAAACAAACAACUUGCAUUUUUCAGCACAUUUAAGACCUAUCUGGUGGGUACAUUAGAUCUGGUGAAUUCAUAUGAACUGCUGUCCUAGUCCACUACACGACUAGAUCAUUUACUUAUGUAUUAUGUAUUCUCUUACUGGUUGGCCAUCCUCCUCCUCCCACUGAAUCAAUUUUUCCACCAUUAAUCAGUAUAAAGACAACUCUAUCCUAGUACAUGGUUCCUUGUGCAAAUGUGAACUCCUCUCUCUAUAUUUCCACAAAUGGAAUUUAUAAGUCACGGGGUAUGUUUAUUUUCUCUUUUACUAAAUAUCGUUGAACUGCUCUCCAUUUACAACCAACCAGUAAUGUGAGCUCCUGCCCUCUUAUACCUCUGCCCAACAUUCAAUAUUGUGAGGGCUUUAAAAUGUCCAUCCAUGUGAUAGGUUUAUUAACCUGCUUUCUAAUGUAGUAACAAAAGAGGGAUACCAGAUAUCCAAAGUCUCUACUUCCCUACCUCUAACUAGAUCAAAGCUCCCAGGGCUCUUCCAAAAGUGUCCAUGAUUUUGUCUCCUAUACCAUGACUGACUCACUUACUGGGUAAUUCUCUUGCACUCAUCACUGGAAACCAGGAAGACACCAACUGUCUAAAAUUAAAUAAAUACUAUCUGUAAGUUGAUUUCAAAGGCUUGGAAGGAACGGGGGCCUUUUCACAGAACUUUUUGGACUGCAUCAGCUAAGCUCGGUCCUAUCAUAGCUGGUCUUGGCAUCUUCACCCCAGAGCCCCUGCCUAACAUCCAAAACAAGGCUUGCUGGCGUCAGGAGAGAGAGGCUUAGUUAGAGCUCCCCAAAAGCUUCUCCUAUGGACAGAAGUGGGGGAGGUAAGUCUCAGAGGCCACCGGAGGUACUGCAGCCUGGCUUGCCCUCCUACGUGCAGACCAGCACAAACCACUGCAGGGGCGGGGCCACGCCGCUUGGUGGCCCUGCCAACCUUCUGAACUGAGCAGUCAGACUGGGAGGCAAAAAGGCCCAACAGAGGUUGCAUGGCACCAUCCACUACGCACCCCAGCUCACUGUCCCCAAAACAGCUUCUCUAACAAAACCCCAAAUAAUCAGACUAUUCAUUUAUCUAGCCUAAGACUGGCUUUUGGUGAAAAAUCCAAGUUCCCAGAAAGUAUGCUAGUAUUAAGAACAGUCUUCCCUUAGCUCUGUUCCUAUCUGUACCAGAAUUAAGGUUUAAAAUGAUGACUCAGGGUCCUGUAAGACCAAAAUAUAUAUAUAUGUGAAUAUACAGAUAUACACACAUAUAUAUACAUAUAUACGUAUAUACAUAGACACACACGCGCGCGCGCGCGCGCGCACACACACACACACACACACACACACACACACAUAUAUUUUUAAGUGAUCUCUAUGCCCAACAUGGGGCUCAAACUCACGACCCCAAGAUCAAGAGUCGCAUGCUCUACUGACUAAGCCAGCCAGGCACCCCUCCUGUAAGACCUUUUGCCAAAUCACUUAAACAUCUCACAAGACCCUCGACAAGAUUGCAAGAAAACUCUGCUCACACUGGCAACUCAUUCUUGUGGUGUACCAACCAACUGAGAUUUGAUUGUGGACGUUUGGAAUGAUUCAGAAAUUAAAUGUCAAAUGAGUCAUUUUCCCCUACCUAGAGCGGUCUUAGCUCUUGGCUAAAAUAACACAUCCUGACAUGUCUUCACACAAGCUGAAGCAAAAUAAAUUAGAACAAGUUUAGUGUGAGUUGAUAAUGCACGGGUUGCGUUUUUUAUACUUUCUAGCUCAUAGUCAUUUCCUCAUUUCUUCCACUGCCUCAACAUUAAGAAACGGCUUUAAGAAAUAAAAUGACUUUUCCUGUGACCCCCCCCACCCCCAUUAAUGUCACAACAUUCAAGGCACAGAAGCAGCUCCCUACAAGGUGCUAGCUGUUUGGAGUCCCAGCUACCAAAUUUGCCAAGUCACUGGCAAAUUAUUGGGUCUUAGAGACCCAAUAAUGCUUUUUGCUAAACUAUGAAUUCAACACUAAAAUUAUUUGCUUCUAAUGCAGUACUUAGAAGUGUAACUUCACUCAGAAGUGAGUUCAAGGACAUUCUUUCAGUCAUCAUUAUUCAUGACCAUUACAGCCCUCCUCCCACAAAGAGAGCCAUGGCCCCAGAGUAGUCUCAGGAAUGCAGGGACACAGGCCACAUUACUUGGGCCCGGGGUUCUGCAAUGCUGCACCCUAAGGUCUUACGGCAGUACAGAGAGCCAGGGAACCUGGACAACUAUUUUUCACUUAGUCGAAACCAUUUUUAACUUGGGGGAAACACAUGCUUCACUGUUUGACUCACUGAAUAGGGAGAAGGGACUUUUUAAACCUGUGAAGACCACAGUGCAGUUUCCCACUCACCCAAUGAAGAGAAUUCUCUCAAAAGCAGAUAAGUUGAAAGGUUGAGUCAUCUUCCCCACAGAGGACCCCCCUCCACCACAGACCUGGUGCUGGGUUACAUACCCUUCCCCUCAGAACAGCCCCACUGCAUUUCCCAACAGCAUCCUCAGGCAACAGGAGAGUGAAUUAUUUGCUAAUAAUGCUGCAGAGCAGAAGUCCUGACCUAGGCUAGCCUCUGUACCCCAGGGAGUGACCACACCCUCAGUACUGCCAACAGGAGGCUGCAGUCCCUGCCUGGGAUCCUAACCUCCACUCACCAGCUGGUAAAGCAAACCCUAGAACUCCACCUGGCAUAGGUCCCUAUUCUCAGGAGAUCAAAGAGCCACUGCAGCAAGUAGAGAGCUGCAAGAUUCCCAAGAGCUCUUCAGGCUCAUCAGGGUGACACAAAAUCUUAAUUCCAGAGUUCCUCCACAGAAAAACCCUGAAAGGAAGAGAAAGUUGGCCUUUUGAAAUCAAGAGUAAAGAGAGAACAGGUUUUCUGUGUCGGAAGGGGAAGGCUUCACAUAGGAAAACACAUGGAGGUUGGUUAGGACAGAUAUGGGUAUGGGAAGGCAUUCCAGGGGAUAGCAACAGUAAAGAAUAUUUUCUGAAUGCAACUGUGUAUCUAGGUCCCCCCCUCCUCAGGAUAUGCCUCAUCAGCAGUUAAAAGCAGAAGGGAGGAAGCUUGAGGAGUCCUUGUUCAUUCCAGUGGAAGUACUGCCUCAGCCAAGGUGACCCAGUCGGCCUGUGUGACUCACUGCAAGUCUUUCUCUAGCCCAAAACUGUUAGGACUCACAGGACAAAGCCUCCCUGGGAUACUUUAACCCUAUCCACCAAGCCAGUCCCAUGGAGGCCCUGUCUCCUUCUUUUUCCCUGCAAGUGUAGCCACAGCUAGGCUGCCUAAGAUGCAAGUGGGAUUGUAAGCAGACCCCUUCCCCCAAAGUAACCAAGACUUGGAAGACGAAGAAAAGCAUCAGUGAACAAUGGAUCAUGUGCUCCCUUCCUCAGGAAUUCCUCCUGUUGCAGGUCAGUCACACUCUGCUUUUCACUUGGCACCUUACCUUUAGUCUUCAUCUCCAUGCUUACUGGCUACCAGACAACCUGACCCACUUAGCCCAGAAAGGACGGCUAGGACUAAGGAGACUUCCGUCUCUCUCCUAGACAAAAUAAUUUUUGUAGGUAAUGCUUUAACUUAAAGGAUGGCAUCUUUGGCCCCAUUGCAGGGGGUGUGGUUCUGAAAUAUCUGUGGAAAGUCCCACACUCCAGAGAGAAUGAAGCCCCUUCGGAUGAACCGGAGCCUACUUUUAUUCCCACUGCUCCCGGGGGAAUUGUGUGACCUGCGAAGUUUCCUCCCCACCACUCUCAAACUUGUCCCAGAAGCUGAGACAUCUCCCAAACCUCCACCUCCCAAUCCAUCCUGAGAAGCUGUUAGGUAACCCAGUUAUGACUCAGCACCAGACUCUUUCCUCUCUCUCCCUACUGGCCAGAGUGAAAGGCAGAACCAAGCACAAGGCUCCUCCCCUAUGGAUGGCCACAUCCUCACCACAAACUGAGUCAGGACCACACCCUGCCUGGAUGGAAAAUUACCAUGAGAAGGAAGAAGGUUAAAUUCCAGGAGUUUCCAAGUUCUCAAUACAGAAAUCAUAGCCAUCUACUCUCCACCUGGGACUAAUUGAGGAAAAUAGUUCUUUUCCUGGCCCUCACCCUAAGUACGUCCACGUAGAGACGAAGUAAGGCUGCUUGCGCCCAGGACCAUGUGAAGUAGGAGGCCACAGUCAACCUACGUGUGCAGUAUCUGUAAUAACCUUGGCCUCUGUGAAGGAGGAUCUCUGGUUCAGACCUGGCUUUCACAAGCCCCACCUCCGCGGUAGGCAGCCCUGAGUGGGAGAAAGAGGCAAUCCUUCUUCAACUCCUUCUCCAGGCUGUGGGAGGAUUCCUCUCCAGAAACUCAGGGCCCCACCCUGCAAGAUUCCCUGCAAUGAAGGCAUUGUUGGAGAAGUGCCAUAGGUUUUUAAUUAGAUUUGUUUUAUACCAGAUAGGUUUUACAAUUUUUCAGAUAUGUUUGGCUUUCAAACUUCUUAGAUUCAGAGUCCUGUUGCUUUUAUGUGGAACACUAUAAAAUGAUGUAUUUAAUGUCAUUACAAUUUUAUUGGCAUAAAAAAGACAUAAUGUGUAUGCUACGAAAACAGUGACACCUCUGAGACCAGCGCAGGUGUUUGAGUUUUUUCCUGGUAAUAUACACUAUCUGUUCAUUACUUCUCAUUCUAUUAUUUGCUAAUACUUGCUAUAGCAGGUGUCACUGACAAAGGGAAAUUAUAAGAAAUGCUUACAACUGAGAAAAAUCCAUUCACAAUUUCUGAAAAUUGAGCAAAAAUGUUGUUACACCACUGGAGCAGCCAAGCACCUAGACUGAGUUGUUGGAACACCUGUGGGAGUAGUCUGAGAACCUCGGCGGGAAUUGAAACGAUGCUUAAGAGCUCAGAUUCUGAAGUUGGGCAGUCCUGGUAAAAACCCAGCACUGCCACUGACUUGCUAUGAGACCCUAGACACAUAAUUUAAGAUCUCUAAAGAAAACCUAUCUUCCAUCUUUUUUGGUCAGCAUUAAAAUGAAAAAAUACUUGUAAAGUUUGAAAGGCUAUCUAGUUUAGAAUUGGAACAAACAGUUCGGGAAUCAGGUUAUCUGUCAGUCAUGAGCUGUGGAAUAUGAGCAAAUCACUUAUCCUGUUUUCUCACCUACAAAAUGGGAAUAAUAGCUCCUAAUUCAUAGGCUUGUGAGAAUUACAUUAGUCAAAUACAGAGUGCUUACAACAAUGCCAAGCAUAUAGUAAUCCAAAGUGUUAGCAAAUUAUUAAAGUGCUUAUUAGCAUAAAACCUGGAUCUACCUAGUAUGAAGUAAAAAAUGUUAGCUCUCCCUAAUACUGUUUAGAUGAGCUGCAAGGGUACUCCUAGGAGGCAGGAAUUUCAGUGAGUGUGGGCUUCCUGGUGGGGCCAUUUAUUUAGUGGAAAGGAAUUUCUUCUAGACCACAAAGCAGAAUGGGACAGAGAGCCCUAGGAAACUUGUGGUGUCAACAGUGUAACAGUCUUGAUUAAGAACAGGUAAGGAAGUUUAAGAAAAGCUCCUACUGGGUGUUAUAUGGAAGUGAUGAAUCAUUAAAUUCUAUUCCUGAAAUCAUUAUUACACUAUAUGUUAACUAACUUGGAUUUAAAUUUUAAAAAAGAAGGAAAAGAAAGGAAAGGAAAGAAAGAAAAAGAAAAACGCCCAGGGGAUGGGCCUUAAGAGUGGUACUUCAUGUUGAGGCAAGUCAGGAACUACAAUGCAGGCAAGGUACUCGGGCAAAGAAGGUAUCUCCAAAGCACAGGGUGAAAGUAAUGAGACAACAGGUGGUCUAGGGAAGACUCUGUAAAUCAAGAAGCUGUAACAGAAUAAAAAACCUAUGCUUGAAAAGCCAGGCUUGUUUAAUGUGUUUUGUAUUCUCUGUGCUUAUAUUCCUGUUUUUCUUCAUUAAUAUUCAAAAUAUUUGAUGUCCAACCCAUCUCUGAGCUAACUUAGAGUUACAGGCACAUGAAGCACAGCCUGAAAGGCCAGCAGAAGGUUGGCAGUGGGAAUUUCAACAGGGAGAUGGAUUUCACUGAAAUAAUUAGGUCUCCUAGAAACAGCUCUCUUUCUUCACCUUGCUAACCUUAAGAGAAUUUGGAUUUUGUUGUAUUGAGGGAGGCUGCAUUUCUCUAGAUGUCAAAUGAGAGACCAAGCCAACUUCCUGCAUCUGUCAGCUAUUUCCCCCCACCACCCUUACCCUAGAGAAAUAGCUGGGAGGAGGAAGAGAAUAGGGGCCCAACCCCUGAGACAGAGAGCAAGGGGCAGUGGCUAAGUUGUGUGCAAAAAGCAGAGGUCCUGGGGCUCCUGGGUGGCUCAGUUGGUUAAGUGUCUGACUUUGGCUCAGGUCACGGUCUCGCAGUUUGUGAGUUCGAGCCCCACGUCCAG